GUUCCUCCAGCAACUACAACAGAAUCUCCGACAAGCCCAGAGAUCACAAGUGCUUCUUCAGCUAUUGUACAAACAUCAUCAAGUUCUUCAACAUCUGAGCCUGUGACCACAACACAUUCUCAAACAGCGACUACAACAGAACCUUCCACAAGCCCAGAGAUCACAAGUGCUUCUUCAACUAUUGUACUAACAUCAUCAAGUACUUCAACAUCCAAGCCUGCGACUACGACACAUUCUCAAACAGCGACUACAACAGUACCUUCCACAAGCUCUGAGAUCACAAGUGCUUCUUCAACUAUUGUACUAACAUCAUCAAGUACUUCAACAUCCAAGCCUGCGACUACAACACCUUCCAAAACAAGUCCUAUUAUUGGAAUUAAAACUACAGUAUCUCCAGCAGCCUCCAGUUUUACAGCUAAAGGGAGUAGCACAGCAAGUUCUCAAACCACUACAGUGUCUGUCAGUGUCCCAGAUAAACCAGCCACAUCAGUUGAAGGCUACCUAAUUCUAACCUUAAAAAUGGUUAGAGCCUUUCAAAAUGACUACUAUGAUUCAUCAACAUCAGCCUACCAGAUCCUGGAAAGGAAUGUCACAACUGAGCUAAAUAAAGGUUAUAAAAAACUAUAUCCUUUAACAUUUGUCAGAACUUACAUACUACGAUUUUGGCCUGGAUCAGUCGGUGUGGAUGCUCAACUAAUUUUUCAAAACCAGUCAGUGGUUCCCAACACCACAACUGUAACAAAUGAUCUUAAAACCGAACUGUCAAAAGUUGUUUUCCUGGAUGUCAUUCCAGAAAGCAUUUCUGCACAUAAUGCAACAACAGCAGCAGCAACAACGUUUGCAACAACUUCAAGCAGUGCUACAAGUAGUCCUACAGCAAGCAGUACUACAGCAAGCAGUACUACAGCAAGUAGUGCAAUUGCAAGCAGCAGACAAUGCUUUUUGCUUACUUUCCUUCUUCCAAUCUUACUGAUCUUGGAUCAGUUUGUUAAACUACUUUGAAUCUAUGAAUAAGACAUCUUACAUUAUAUUACACAUAUUUCUGUUGCUGAUAAUAACAGCAGAUGACUGCCCAAUUACAAAAUGAUAAAAAAAAGAUGUCAUUAUGCUGUGUGGGUUUAUGAAGUCUGAUUAUGAUUUUUACAGUAUUAAAUUAUGUUACCUAUUUAAAUUACUCUAGUUAUUUAAAAACAAUUAACUGAAAAAUAUUUAUUUGAACACUUUGUGUAUAAUUUAUUUUGUCAUGCAACUGUUUUAAUUCAAAUAAAAUAAAUCUGCAUUACUUGUUAUAACUAAAU
rnacentral:lncRNA from 1 species